UUUUCUUCGCUCUCCAAAUAGUCUUUCUUGGCAUUUUUUCCCCCUCAUUUCACCCCAUUCACUUUUUCCCCUCUCUCUCUAUUUUUUUGAUUCCCAGAGCUCGAUCUUGAGUUGUUUUUACUCAGAAAGCCAAAACCCCCCCAUCCAUUGGUGGGAAGGCACGGUGGCUUCUCCUUGCUACAGCACAGUCCCAGCGGCUGGGACAAACAAUGGUGUGCCUGAGGUGGGAAUGCCUGUCCUUGUCCCAUCAGCCGAGGAGUUGGGGUUUCCCAUUUGCAUGUGAUCCACUGGGCGGAUAAAAGCCUUGGACCUAGAAUUCCAUGCUUUUUAGUAGCCGGCUGAAGGAUUGAGGUGGCUUCUGGUGGCCGAAGCAGCCCUGGGAACCCUUUUCAUUGCUGCUAAGCACACACCGGCUAUAUCCAUGCAGAAGCUGUGGCCUUUCAGGGAUAAGAAGAACCACUUCCCCUCCAGCUGCAAGGAGCUGCCUGAACAAUCUGACAGAAGAGGAGGAAAGAAAGGCAAUGGCAAGCAAAGGACUGAAAUGCAGCAUGACUUAAAAGCCCUGGACUCUGACCUGGAUAAUAAAAACAACCUGCUUGAUGGAGUCUGACUCAUCUCCCCCACGCUGAAAUUCCCAGUAAAACUGAAACACAUUGGCUCUGGAAGGAAUGGAUGUGACUCAGGUUUCAGGCAAGUUCUUGCUCUGCCCACAGAAAUACCAUCUCCCAACCUUUUCAGCCAUGAGCUGAGAUUUCAGUCUGAGUGUAGGACGUAUAGGAUUUGGAUAGAGCAGCUUUAAUGUGAAUUUUGCCCUGGGGAGAGCUUCCCUAGGUACUCACCAACCCCACGCUGCCCACCUAACAAAGGAGCGAGGGAAAUAAUUAAAUCAAAUUAAAAAAAGAAAAGCUUUGUCUCAUGUGCCCUUGCCAUAUUUCCCAGCCCUGGGAUUGCAGUCAGUGUUCUGCUGUCACCUAGAGCCUGUUCCAGCUAUUUCACCACGGAGAUCUUGAGGUUUUUGGGAUAACCUGCUCCUGUUGCCUGUGUCCUUCUCCCCUCUCAGCUCCUCCUCAUUCCAUUU